GAUCGUUUGAUCCGCUUUUGCGAGGUCAUGAUCCAUGGACAGUCUUGUUUCCAAUCGAGUAGAUCUAGGCUUAUGCUGUUUCUGGAAACGGUCUUUGGAUCUGGACGAAGGAUGGACGGAUUUUAUGUCUGCCCUACCUGUGCGUAUCAGAUCAGAUCUGCUGAAGCUGCCUUAUGAGACGGGAUCGAGAUCGUUAUGGUGCGGUAGAUCAUAGAAGCUGUUAAUAGUUGGCAGGAAUUAUAGUAAGCUAGACAAAGGUUGACUUAUGCUGGGUAAUUUAUUCACAGUAUUGUUUUAUUAUCGUUGUUAUGGUUUUGAAGAAGUUAUGUGUUGUGAGGAAGAAAAAAAUUGUGGCGUUGGAAAAGAAUGUUAUGGAAAAAAUUAUGUGAUAGUGAGCAAAAAAAAGAGAGGUAAGAUUUGUGAGGUUAAGAUGUGAGAGAUGAAUUUACGCUGUGUGGUUGUGAUCGACCUUUGCCAUGUCAGGUGCGCUUGCAUGGCAGGUCAAAAACCCUAAUAAAAUUAUUAUUAUUUUUGUUUUCGGGGGAGAUGGUACGGGGGUUUUAUUUUUUUUAUCCCCGGCUCUCCCCCUUGCUGGUGUUCUUGCCUUUUUUUUUCCUGUGUUUCCCUCUUUGGUUUCUUGCUGCUUGACUGAAUUGUUUGGUUCUAUGCCAAACAUGCAACCACUUACAGUCUAAAGGCAAUAUAGAUUUCCCCACACAGUUUGAAAUUGAUCAGCACACAGUGCAGGGCACUCUUCGCGAAGGAACAAUCCCAAGGUACAAUCCACUGACACAUAAGUUUAAUUUGUCUUCUCUUAUUUGGCUCAUUUAGUACAUAAAGAAUGGUAACAGGCAUCGCAUGUAGUAUGACAAUACUUUUAAUUAUCUCAGCACACAUUUACAUAUUGGCUCUUUUAACAAUGCUCAUCAGAAGUCUAUUUCCAUAUUGCGUAUAUUAUUUUAAACACAAUCUUUUAUCGGAUAUAUGACCAACCACUUUAUCACGCAAAAUGACUAUUAGUAACAUUUGUCUUAAUUAUAUCAUUUUGAACUUACCUGUCUACUGGCUCUAAGAAAUCACUUUUUAAGAAUAUUUUCAAGUUGAUUAUCACUUUGAAAAACCCUGUUUAUCGGCCACGUCAUUUCUUGUCUUAUAUACCUAAUCAGUCUAAAUUAUCAUACAUAAUCAGUCUAAAUUGUCAUUCCUAAUCAGUCUAAAUUAUUAUACGUAAUCAUACUGAUUUAUAUUUUAAUAAUCAUUCUAAAUCUUAUAUACAUUGUGGCUAACAUUUUAUCAAUCUGCGAUCUCUUCACUGUGAUCUUUGCCAAAUUUUAUGUUCUAGUAUAGCAUAGCCAUACACAAUUUUUAGGCUGUCAUUCAGUUCUUAUCUAAUAAACUGAAAAUAUGUGAAAUUAGCAUGGGUAUAUUGAGAGUAAAUGAACCUAUAAAUCAUGGUACGGGCAAAUAAAUUAUAUUAUUACCUGUUUCGUAAUUCAGUUUUUUGGGUUUAUAAGGUGUUAUGAGAUUGUCAAAUCAAUUAUUUUUGUUAUGUGCGAUUUUAGUGUGAUGCGAUAAAAAACGAUACCAUUUUCUUCUGUGUGAUUUGGUCCUGAUAUUCGUUGUUGGACCAUUUUAGUUUAUGAUUUUUGAUGUCUAUUAAUUGGUGGGGGUUAGGAGCUGUUGUACUCUUGAAGGUCUUGUAUUUGUGUAUCAUAUUGUAAGGGGAUGAAGCUUGUUGUACCUAGCAUCUGAGAACUUUAUCGUUGUGAAGAUUCUCUUUUGUUGGAUGUGGAAUGAUACCAGCUGGAGCACCGCGGUGGAAAGAUUAUUUCUGCUUAUGUUGGUUGUCAAGGUCUUGUCUUGGAGCUGCUUUUGGACGCGUCAAUUAUUUUAUUAUAUGAGGAAUAUGAUGCCAAAUAUUUGCAUGUGAAUAUCUGAUUUUGGAUACCGACUGAUGGAACCAUCUUCCUGGCGUGGUCUACUGCGCGGCAACUGUUGAAGAAACUAGUAAUCCACUCAUACAAGGUUCCAUCGCUUUCAGCAGGCAUUUUACGGUGUUUUUGGCUUGUUCAGUUCUGCCUCAUAAUGUUCAGUUCUGCUAUGAUCGGAGAGACAUUUAAGGUCUACCUUGUGACAUGUCUCAUCAUGUCUGGCGACUAAGAGCUUGCCUUCUGGUUUCAGCGUGCUUUCUGAUGGUUGCCUUUUACAUGUACCUCUGGCGACUGUUUUUUGCUUUUGAUUUAAUCUGUUACAUAAGAUCUGACAAGAGUAGUGCAAGGUGAACUUAAUGUUUUCUCUUUCGUUUGUUCGUAGUAGUCGUUCGUGUUUAUUGGCGGAUGCUUCAUGUGUAACCAGUCAGAUCGGUUCUGAUGUUUUUAUCGAAAUGUUGGAUUUCCAUUGGUGAUGAACUGGAACUGCAAGGGAUGUCUAUCGGAGUUUUGGCUAUCUGAUGUCCUAAUAUUUUUGCUUGUAGAGGUGAAUAAUUUGCCCAACUGGAGGUUGAAUGAACGAUAGAUAUGUUUUAUGAAAAUAUUAAAUACUAGCGUCGGAAUUCGCAAUGACGAAAGACAGUUUAAAUAAUUGUUCUUUUGUUUGCCUUAUUAAGAGUUUAAAAAUUAUUUCUUAUUUA